rnacentral:rRNA from 1 species
AGAGUUUGAUCCUGGCUCAGAUUGAACGCUGGCGGCAUGCCUUACACAUGCAAGUCGAACGGCAGCACGGGUGCUUGCACCUGGUGGCGAGUGGCGAACGGGUGAGUAAUACAUCGGAACGUACCUUAUCGUGGGGGAUAACGCAGCGAAAGCUGUGCUAAUACCGCAUACGCCCUGAGGGGGAAAGCGGGGGAUCGAAAGACCUCGCGCGAUUAGAGCGGCCGAUGCCUGAUUAGCUUGUUGGUGGGGUAAAAGCCCACCAAGGCGACGAUCAGUAGCUGGUCUGAGAGGACGAUCAGCCACACUGGGACUGAGACACGGCCCAGACUCCUACGGGAGGCAGCAGUGGGGAAUUUUGGACAAUGGGGGCAACCCUGAUCCAGCAAUGCCGCGUGAGUGAAGAAGGCCUUCGGGUUGUAAAGCUCUUUUGUCAGGGAAGAAACACCGGCUCUAACACAGUCCGGGAAUGACGGUACCUGAAGAAUAAGCACCGGCUAACUACGUGCCAGCAGCCGCGGUAAUACGUAGGGUGCGAGCGUUAAUCGGAAUUACUGGGCGUAAAGCGUGCGCAGGCGGUUAUACAAGACAGGCGUGAAAUCCCCGGGCUUAACCUGGGAAUGGCGCCUGUGACUGUAUAGCUAGAGUGUGUCAGAGGGGGGUAGAAUUCCACGUGUAGCAGUGAAAUGCGUAGAUAUGUGGAGGAAUACCAAUGGCGAAGGCAGCCCCCUGGGAUAACACUGACGCUCAUGCACGAAAGCGUGGGGAGCAAACAGGAUUAGAUACCCUGGUAGUCCACGCCCUAAACGAUGCUGACUAGUUGUUCGGGAUUUACAUCCUGAGUAACGUAGCUAACGCGUGAAGUCAGCCGCCUGGGGAGUACGGUCGCAAGAUUAAAACUCAAAGGAAUUGACGGGGACCCGCACAAGCGGUGGAUGAUGUGGAUUAAUUCGAUGCAACGCG